rnacentral:rRNA from 1 species
AGGGCGGAUAGUCGGAAGGAGUAGACGCGAAACCAAGUGAUCUACCCUUGGGCAGGUUGAAGGUUAGGUAACACUAACUGGAGGACCGAACCGAUAAGCGUUGAAAAGCUUCCGGAUGACCUGAGGGUGGGGGUGAAAGGCUAAUCAAACUUGGAGAUAGCUCGUACUCCCCGAAAUGCAUUUAGGUGCAGCCUUGAGAGUUACUAAUGUGAGGUAGAGCGACUGAUAAGAUGCGAGGGCUUCACCGCCUAUCAAGUCUUGAUAAACUCCGAAUGCGCAUUAGUUCUAUCUCAGGAGUGAGGGCAUGGGUGCUAAGGUCCAUGUCCUAAAGGAGAAGAAUCCAGACCAUCAGCUAAGGUCCCCAAAUAAACACUAAGUUGAACUAACGAAGUCAGAUUGCUAAGACAGCUAGGAUGUUGGCUUGGAAGCAGCCAUUCAUUUAAAGAGUGCGUAACAGCUCACUAGUCGAGGAGUUUGGCGUGGAUAAUAAUCGGGCAU